AGUGAACGCUGGCGGCGUGCUUAACACAUGCAAGUCGAACGGGCAAGUGCCGUAGCAAUACGGAUUACUGCUAGUGGCAGACGGGUGAGUAAUACAUAGGAAUCUGCCUCGGAGUGGGGAAUAACAGUUGGAAACGACUGAUAAUACCCCAUAUUGCCUGAGGGUGAAAGAAUUUCGCUCCGAGAUGAGCCUAUGCAGGAUUAGCUUGUUGGUAGGGUAAUGGCCUACCAAGGCGACGAUCUUUAGCUGGUCUAAGAGGAUGAUCAGCCACACUGGAACUGAGACACGGUCCAGACUCCUACGGGAGGCAGCAGUGGGGGAAUUUUGGACAGUGGGCGAAAGCCUGAUCCAGCGACGCCGCGUGGGUGAUAAGGCC
rnacentral:rRNA from 1 species